rnacentral:rRNA from 1 species
UAGGGAAUCUUCGGCAAUGGGGGGAACCCUGACCGAGCAACGCCGCGUGAGUGAAGAAGGUUUUCGGAUCGUAAAGCUCUGUUGUUAAGGAAGAACGAGUGUGAGAAUGGAAAGUUCAUACUGUGACGGUACUUAACCAGAAAGGGACGGCUAACUACGUGCCAGCAGCCGCGGUAAUACGUAGGUCCCGAGCGUUGUCCGGAUUUAUUGGGCGUAAAGCGAGCGCAGGCGGUUAGAUAAGUCUGAAGUUAAAGGCAGUGGCUCAACCAUUGUAGGCUUUGGAAACUGUUUAACUUGAGUGCAGAAGGGGAGAGUGGAAUUCCAUGUGUAGCGGUGAAAUGCGUAGAUAUAUGGAAGAACACCGGUGGCGAAAGCGGCUCUCUGGUCUGUAACUGACGCUGAGGCUCGAAAGCGUGGGGAGCGAACAGG